rnacentral:rRNA from 1 species
CGCGCAGGCUGUUUGGUAAGUCAGAUGUGAAAGCCCGGGGCUCAACCCCGGAAGUGCAUUUGAUACUGCCGAACUUGAGUAUGGGAGAGGGAAGUGGAAUUCCUGGUGUAGAGGUGAAAUUCGUAGAUAUCAGGAGGAACACCGGUGGCGAAGGCGACUUCCUGGACCGACACUGACGCUGAGGCGCGAAAGCUAGGGGAGCAAACA